AUUGAACGCUAGCGGGAUGCUUUACACAUGCAAGUCGAACGGAGUGGCGGACGGGUGAGUAAUAUAUCGGAACGUGCCUAGUAGAGGGGGAUAACUACUCGACAGAGUGGCUAAUACCGCAUACUAGUGGAUCGGCCGAUAUCGGAUUAGCUAGUUGGUGGGGUAAAGGCUCACCAAGGCGACGCUCCGUAGCUGGUUUGAGAGUAGGACCAGCCACACGGGGACGGAGACACGGCCCAGACUCCUACGGGAGGCAGCAGUGGGGAAUUUUGGACAAUGGGUGAAACCCUGAUCCAGCCAUCCCGCGUGUAUGAUGAAGGCCUUCGGGUUGUAAAGUACUUUUGGCAGAGAGGCGGUAUCUGCAGAAUAAGCACCGGCUAACUACGUGCCAGCAGCCGCGGUAAUUC
rnacentral:rRNA from 1 species